GAUGAACGCUAGCGGCAGGCCUAAUACAUGCAAGCCGAACGGUAAGAUUUGUAGCAAUACGAGUCCUAGAGUGGCGUAAGGGUGCGUAACACGUAUGCAAUCUGCCCGCAACUGGAGGAUAGCUCGGGGAAACCCGGAUUAACCCUCCAUAAGAUCACACAAUGGCAUCAAAGAGUGAUUAAAUCUCCGGAGGUUGCGGAUGAGCAUGCGGUUGAUUAGCUAGUUGGUAGUGUAACGGACUACCAAGGCAAUGAUCAAUAGGGGGAACGUGAGAGGG
rnacentral:rRNA from 1 species